rnacentral:rRNA from 1 species
GUCGAGCGGGAUGAGGUGCUUGCACCUUAUCUUAGCGGCGGACGGGUGAGUAAUACUUAGGAAUCUGGCUAUUAGUGGGGGACAACAUUUCGAAAGGGAUGCUAAUACCGCAUACGUCCUACGGGAGAAAGCAGGGGAUCUUCGGACCUUGCGCUAAUAGAUGAGCCUAAGUCGGAUUAGCUAGUUGGUGGGGUAAAGGCCUACCAAGGCGACGAUCUGUAGCGGGUCUGAGAGGAUGAUCCGCCACACUGGGACUGAGACACGGCCCAGACUCCUACGGGAGGCAGCAGUGGGGAAUAUUGGACAAUGGGGGGAACCCUGAUCCAGCCAUGCCGCGUGUGUGAAGAAGGCCUUAUGGUUGUAAAGCACUUUAAGCGAGGAGGAGGGUGCUGGUAUUAAUACUACCAGCUACUGGACGUUACUCGCAGAAUAAGCACCGGCUAACUCUGUGCCAGCAGCCGCGGUAAUACAGAGGGUGCGAGCGUUAAUCGGAUUUACUGGGCGUAAAGCGUGCGUAGGCGGCUAAUUGAGUCGGAUGUGAAAUCCCCGAGCUUAACUUGGGAAUUGCAUUCGAUACUGGUUAGCUAGAGUGUGGGAGAGGAUGGUAGAAUUCCAGGUGUAGCGG